rnacentral:snRNA from 1 species
GGAUGUGAGGGUGAUCUGGCUGCGACAUCUUGUCACCCAAUUUGAUCGCCAGGGUUGAUCAAAUGAUCUGGCUGGAUUAGGCCGGGGUCGCCUUCCUCCCCUCACCGCUCCAUAGGCAAUCCCUCCUGAAGCUGCGGCUCUGUUCGAAGAGACAGCUUCUCAUAGAAGAUGAUCGGUCUUCGGUCGAGGGUAUACGAGUAGCUGCGCUCCCCCGCUAGAACAAUUCUAACAACAAGCUCUCAAAUAUAUAGAGGAAGAUAGAAUAUCUAGUUGGUAAAAUCAGCUAAUACAUAUUUCUUUAUGUGAAUCUUUAUAUU